GCCAAGGACAGUGGUGUGCGCCUGUAGUCCCAGCUACUCGGGAGGCUGAGGCUGGAGGAUCACUUGAGUCCAGGAGUUCUGGGCGGUAGCGCGCUAUGCCGAUUGGGUGUCCGCACUAAGUUCGGCAUCAAUAUGGUGACCUCCCGGGAGCGGGGGCCACCAGGUUGCCUAAGGAGGGGUGAACUGGCCCAGGUCAGAAACGGAGCAGGUCAAAACUCCCGUGCUGAUCAGUAGUGGCAUCGCGCCUGUGGAUAGCCACUGCACUCCAGCCUGGGCAACAUAGCAAGACUGUCUCU
rnacentral:SRP_RNA from 1 species